rnacentral:rRNA from 1 species
GACGAACGCUGGCGGCAUGCCUAAUACAUGCAAGUCGAGCGAACAGAUGAAGUGCUUGCACUUCUGACGUUAGCGGCGAACGGGUGAGUAACACGUAAGGAAUCUACCUAUAAGCGGGGGAUAACAUUCGGAAACGGGUGCUAAUACCGCAUAAUAUCUUCUUCCGCAUGGAAGAAGAUUUAAAGACGGCUCUGCUGUCACUUAUAGAUGACCUUGCGGUGCAUUAGUUAGUUGGUGGGGUAACGGCCUACCAAGACGAUGAUGCAUAGCCGACCUGAGAGGGUGAUCGGCCACAUUGGGACUGAGACACGGCCCAAACUCCUACGGGAGGCAGCAGUAGGGAAUCUUCCGCAAUGGGCGAAAGCCUGACGGAGCAAUGCCGCGUGAGUGAAGAAGGCCUUCGGGUCGUAAAACUCUGUUAUAAGAGAAGAACAAAUUGUAGAGUAACUGCUACAGUCUUGACGGUAUCUGAUCAGAAAGCUACGGCUAACUACGUG